AGGACGAACGCUGGCGGCGUGCUUAACACAUGCAAGUCGAGCGGAAAGGCCCUUCGGGGUACUCGAGCGGCGAACGGGUGAGUAACACGUGAGCAACCUGCCCCUGGCUCUGGGAUAGCCUCCGGAAACGGGGAUUAAUACCGGACAUGACCUGCUGCCGCAGUGGUGGUCGGGUGGAAAGUUUUUCGGCCAGGGUGGGGCUCGCGGCCUAUCAGGCUUGUUGGGGGGUGACGGCCCACCAAGGCGACGACGGGUA
rnacentral:rRNA from 1 species